UAGAAAGAUUUCGUGUAGUCUUUGUCAC
rnacentral:piRNA from 1 species